rnacentral:rRNA from 1 species
AGUACGGCGAGUGAAGCGGUAAAAGCUCAAAUUUGAAAUCUGGUACUUUCAGUGCCCGAGUUGUAAUUUGUAGAAUUUGUCUUUGAUUAGGUCCUUGUCUAUGUUCCUUGGAACAGGACGUCAUAGAGGGUGAGAAUCCCGUUUGGCGAGGAUACCUUUUCUCUGUAAGACUUUUUCGAAGAGUCGAGUUGUUUGGGAAUGCAGCUCAAAGUGGGUGGUAAAUUCCAUCUAAAGCUAAAUAUUGGCGAGAGACCGAUAGCGAACAAGUACAGUGAUGGAAAGAUGAAAAGAACUUUGAAAAGAGAGUGAAAAAGUACGUGAAAUUGUUGAAAGGGAAGGGCAUUUGAUCAGACAUGGUGUUUUUUGCAUGCACUCGCCUCUCGUGGGCUUGGGCCUCUCAAAAAUUUCACUGGGCCAACAUCAAUUCUGGCAGCAGGAUAAAUCAUUAAGAAUGUAGCUACUUCGGUAGUGUUAUAGCUUUUUGGAAUACUGUUAGCCGGGAUUGAGGACUGCGCUUCGGCAAGGAUGUUGGCAUAAUGGUUAAAUGCCGCCCGUCUUGACC